UGUAGGAGUGAGCCUGCUCGCGAUGGCUUACUGACAUUCAACAGAGUAGUUGACUGUCAGAUGGCUAUCGCGAGCAGGCUCACUCCUACA
rnacentral:misc_RNA from 1 species